UGAAGAGAGAGUUCAAGAGGGCGUGAAACCGCUUAGAAGUAAACAGAUGGACCUGACGUGGAGUCGGUGAGAUUCAACUUGCAGUUCUACCCCAGCCUGGUGACUGAUUGAACUACAGUUUUCCAGCAACUGGUGUGGUCUGUGGGUGCAUUUCUUGCCGAUGUGCACUGGAACCCGUGUCUGCGCUGGAGCUAAGGUAGCGAGUGCCGGCCAACUUGUUGGUGUCCCAUCGCUGCUGGAAACCGAGUUGCGGACACGGGAGCCUCUAUGGUGUUCGCCUCCACUCGACCUCGUGGAAAGCCUUGCUAAUUGAAAUGUAGUUUUAUGCUCGCAUGACUCUGCGAUGCCUGGCUCGGUGAUCUGCGUUGCUCGAGUAAACACCUUAUUCUGGUGAUUUUGUCAGUCACCCAUCUGACCCGUCUUGAAACACGGACCAAGGAGUCUAACAUGUGCGCGAGUCACUGGGUCGCAAAACCUAAGGGCGCAAUGAAAGUGAAGUCCAGUUCGGCUGGAUGACAUGGGACCCUUUGUCUCUGACAGAGGUGCACCAUGGUCCCGUCUGAGCUGCAUUGUCAGCUGGGCGGAGAUUGAGCGUACACGUUGGGACCCGAAAGAUGGUGAACUAUGCCUGAGCAGGAUGAAGCCAGAGGAAACUCUGGUGGAGGUCCAUAGCGAUUCUGACGUGCAAAUCGAUCGUCGGACUUGGGUAUAGGGGCGAAAGUACGUAAUCGAU
rnacentral:rRNA from 1 species